rnacentral:rRNA from 1 species
UACAGAGGUCCCGAGCGUCGUUCGGAUUCACUGGGCGUAAAGGGUGCGUAGGUGGUGGGGUAAGUCGGAUGUGAAAUCUCGGAGCUCAACUCCGAAAUGGCAUUGGAAACUACCCUGCUGGAGGGUCGGAGGGGGGACUGGAAUACUUGGUGUAGCAGUGAAAUGCGUAGAUAUCAAGUGGAACACCAGUGGCGAAGGCGAGUCCCUGGACGACUCCUGACACUGAGGCACGAAAGCCAGGGGAGCAAACGGG